rnacentral:rRNA from 1 species
UACAGAGGUCCCAAGCGUUGUUCGGAUUCACUGGGCGUAAAGGGUGCGUAGGUGGCUUGGUAAGUUUGAUGUGAAAUCUCCGGGCUUAACCCGGAAAUGGCAUUGAAUACUAUUGAGCUGGAGGUUUGGAGGGGGGACUGGAAUUCUCGGUGUAGCAGUGAAAUGCGUAGAUAUCGAGAGGAACGCCAGUGGCGAAGGCGAUCUUCUGGACGGAUACUGACGCUGAGGCGCGAAAGCUAGGGGAGCAAACGGG